UGAGAAUUGAAAUGGGGCGAAAGUUCUGACUCGAGCAAUGCCGCGUGAGUGAAGAAGGUUUUCGGAUCGUAAAACUCUGUUGUUUGGGAGGAAAGGGAUGAGAGUAACUGUUGGUCCCUUGACGUUAUCUAACCAAAAAGCCCUGGCUAACUUCGUGCCAGCAGCCGCGGUAAUACGUAGAUGGCAAGCGUUGUCCGGAUUUAUUGGGCGUAAAGCGAGCGCAGGCGGUUCUUUAAGUCUGAUGUGAAAGCCCCUGGCUCAACCUGGGAGGGUCAUUGAAAACUGGAGAACUUGAGUGCGGAAGAGGAAGGUGGAAUUCCCUGUGUAGCGGUGAAAUGCGUAGAUAUAUGAAGGAACACCAGUGGCGAAGGCGACUUUCUGGUCUGUAACUGACGCUGAGGCUCGAAAGCAUGGGGAGCAAACAGGAUUAGAUACCCUGGUAGUCCAUGCCGUAAACGAUGACUGCUAACUGUUGGAGGGUUUCCGCCCUUCAUGGCUGCACCUAACCCUUUAAUCACUCCCCCGGGGAAUUACGACCGCAAGGUUAAAACUCAAUGGAUUUGACGGGGGCCCGCCCAACCGUGGGACCUGGUGGUUUAUUUCAAACCACCGCGAAA
rnacentral:rRNA from 1 species